GGGAUCUGAGCUGCGUCAGCAACCUACACCACAGCUCGCGGCAACGCCAGGUCCUUAACCCACUGAGCGAGGCCAGGGGUUGAACCCACUUCCUCAUGGAGACUAGUCCUGCCUCACUAACUAGCCCUAAAUUCUUUUUGAACUUGCCAUAACAUCUUACUGGCUCUCUUAUUAGUUGAUGAAUUAAAGAAAAUCUUUUACAUGUGUUAAUUUUACAUUUGAUUGAGAGUCAUGAUUUUACUUUUUGAAAAUUAUUCUUUAAUAUGGAGGAUAAGGAGUCUGUCUUCAUUAUUUAGUUUUAUUGAUGCUCAGUGAAAUGGCAUUGUUUAUAAUUUGCUAUGAGUAUUUAUUCCUAUUACUUGAUUUAUAAUACACUGUGUAUAUUUAUGCCUGUUAAACCUCCACAGAGGAGGUUUUAUUCUUUUAAAUUAGUGCUUUUGCAAGCAAAUCCUCAAAAAAUUUCAAUUAGGUGAAAUAUCCAAAUUUGAUAGGCCCAAUUAACAUUUGUAGUGAGGACCCUAAAUGCCUAAGAUAGACAAAACAGAGGCCAAUUUGGUGAUACAGUUAAGUAAAGUUGACAUCAUCUUAGAUCCUUCUGAUUUCCUCUUUUGCCUCAUUCUCCUUUUAUCUUCCUGUGGAUGUUUGGUAGGGUAUAUUGAGACAGGUAUUUUAAAGAGCAACUGAGUGAGCCUGUGCUUCAUAUCCGUUUGCAUGCCUUUGUUAUUUGCCAUUCAGUAAGGUGAAUGGAUACCCUAUUGCUAACAGCAUAAUUUAUGCUUUGGAUUCUCUGCCUCUAGUAUUCCACUGAUUUAAAACAAUGUAGAUUCCAAUUUCACAAGCAAUACUCAUUAAUGGAUUUCUCCAUUUCUUUGACUAGAAGUGAAUGACAGAUUGUGAAGAUUGCUUUGAAUUAUGAGGAAACUCUGAUAUGAAUAAAGUGGACUAAUAAUGAAGCAUUCACUUACUGAUCACAUCUCAUUUGUCUACGUUCCAUUAAUUUUAUAUAAUGCCAUACUCAUUGACUUAGGUGCUUUGUGUUUGUUAUCCUAAUGUGCUGUGGAAAUAACACCUUUUGAAAUUCCCAGCUCAAAUUACCCUGCAUAACAGUUGAAAGUGAUAACUUGAGCUUUGGGGAUGGGUUGUGCUGUAUCAACACCAUCAGUUCUUUUCACUUUUGUAAAAAAACCAACAACAAAGUAGUUGAAAUAUAAAUGCUCCAAUUUUGCCUGAUCAUUGUGUCAAGUGAUUUCCAUUACUGAGAGCUGUUAGGUAUAAACCCAUUAGUCAUCUUUUGGCAAUUGUGGACCAGGGAAUUGCCACAUUAUUGUAAAGAAACUAGGAGCUUCCUUUGUGUUUCAUGUUUACUUAUUAUAGACAAAUCAAAACAUUAUUAGGUCCUGGAUGUUAAAGUUCCAGAAGAGUCUCAAGAUCUCUCAUUGUUCCUGAAACUUUAAACUCUUUUAAAACAAUUAUCUUGGUUUGAUACUAACUGGCGAAGUGAUAUUUGGCCAGUCAGUUAACCUCUCCCUUCUGGGUUUCUUUAUCUUGAAUAGGCGGUUACUGGGGUAGGUGAUUGGGAAGAUUUAUUUUCAGUAAGCCUUAUUUAUUUGUUUAUUAUUAUUUUAUCUUUUCUAGGGCCGCACUCACAGCAUAUGGAGGUUCCCAGGCCAGGGGUCUCAUCAGAGCUGUAGCUGCCGGCCUGUGCCAGGGCCACAGCAAUGCCAGAUCCGAGUUGCGUCUGUGACCUACACCACAGCUCACAGCAACACCAGAUCCUUAACCCACUGAGUGAGAGCAGGGAUCGAACCCACAACCUCAUGGUUCUUAGUCGGAUUUGUCAACCACUUAGCCACAACAGGAACUCCCAGUAAGCCAUUUUUAGUCUUUAAUUUGGGCCUUUGUGUAACGAUAGCCAGAGAUUUAUAGGGUGUAACUAAUUUGUGAGUUUUCUUUGAAAAUAAUGAUACUUUACAUUAUUAAACUGUUCACAGUUUACAAAUUACUCCCAGAAACAGGGUAGUCCCCUCAUACCCAGCAGCUUGUAGUAUGUAGUAAGUGUUCAGUAUAUGCUUGUUGUGAAUUAAUACAUUCUAAUGCAAAUGUUUUAAACCUUCCUAGUUCAGGUUUGCCUUUUUCCAAGUAUUAGAAUAAUAAUAGAUAAGAAAAACAUUUGGCCUUUCCUCAUUUUCUUAAAUGGAGAUGAGUUAAUCGUGUUCGUUAUAAUGGAAGAUAGAUGUUUUCUUAAGUGAUUUGCAAUAGGCAACAUGUGGGAAAAGUACUGGAUUUGGAGAAGAACUUGUUUCUAUUCUGGCUCUAUAGCUCAGCUGGAAAAUUCAUAUCUCUUAUCUGUAAAGUAGGAAUGGUAUCACUCAGAAUUGUGGUAUAUAUGAAAGUACAUCAUCAUCUGUGAAGUGCUUUACAACUGUGAGAUAGUCUCACUCUUUGAUUAGCUUAUACAACUCAUCAAACUAGAUUAAGAUCUCUUAAUUCUUUCCCCCUGGGUUUGAAAUGGAUAACUAGAAAGGUCGAUGAGUUAGUUAUGCUCACAAAACCAAGGUGAAAAGCCAAGGCAGCUAUGACAAGGUUGAAGUUCAUCCAUCAGAAGUGAAUGAAACAGAAAGGUCCACCUCCCUAAUCAUUUUGAUCACCAGGGUGAUGAUGACCGACCAGUGAGACCAGUCAUGGACACCCAGUGUAAAGAUGGCCGUAGCAGAUGUGAUCAUCCUCAUUGCAGAUGAUUUAAUGGAAAACAGCAACCAUUAACAACACAAGACUGGCAGUAGGGGAACCUUGAUUUAAACUCCUGCCAAUGACAAGGAAUGUGAUCUAAAGCUAGUUACUUAAUCUUUCUGAGCCCCAGUUUCCACUUCUGUGGAAUCGUGGUUGGGAUGUUGGACAUCAUUGCUGAUUCCUGUUCCAGACACGCCUUCCAGCGAUGGAAUGAGACACGAUGGUGGAGCUUUGGAUUUGAAUGCGUAAUCUUAAUAGGAAAUGGAGAACUUUAACAUGGGAAACUUGCAGCAGAGAGGGCCUCCUCCCAUCCAACAGGCCUGGUAAGAAACGUGUUGAGCAAAGGGAGGCUGCUCCUCGCUGAUAUUCAUGCAGGAACUUGUUUUAAUUGUGUUUCUCUGAUUAGAUCAGAGGCCUGCAGGUGGCCGAGGGCUUGAGUAAAUAAAACUGCUCUGUGGGACUCGGCCUACCACCUCAACCCUGUUUUCAGGCUCACUACAGGACAGGUGAUGGGAGGGCAAUAGGAGUGGGAGGAGAGGAAAAUACUUUUCUGCGAGAAGGAAGUGAGAGCCGAGGUCCCUAACAAGUUGAGAAAAUGAGGCCCCUGAUCUGCAAACUUGCUCUGCUGGGCCUGUGCCUCAGAGAUGGCUGUGCAGCUAGCUGUGUGUGUGCACUGUGUUUCUAGGCUUCGCUGCAGCGCUCUAAGUGUCUCUGUCCUUGUGCCCUGAGCACCUCAGCAUCUAUCUUUACCCUGCCCAGUCUGCUUUCCACCCCCUUCUCAUUCUCCCACCUUGUUUCUGCUACUGGGCUUGGAUAUUUGAUUAAGGAGCUCUGAGAAAAAUCAACUUCUUUAUCCACCACUUUCCAAAAUUCUUCUGAUUGUCUCUGUCCUUUCUUUUGGCCAUGCCUGGGACACGUGGAAGUUCCAAGGCCAGGGAUUGAACCCAAAUCACAGCAGCAGCCUGGGCUGCUGCAGUGACAAUGCUGGAUCCUUAAGCUGCUGCACCACAAGGGAACUCCAUUUCAGUCUUUAUUCAACAUAUUUUCCAGAAGACCUGAUAAACUGGCUUGCACUGAGGAGGCAUGCUCCCAAAGGAUUAGCAUUUUAAGAGGCAACAAAUCUUCAUGUCAAACAAAGCAAUCUCUAAUUGUAUAGUUUUAGGCAACAGUAGAAAGAAAGACUGUUUUUGGAGACGUUUGCAGAGAGAGAUAGUAUGGGUGUUUAGAAUUUUAAUUUAAUAAAGAAAUCACCAUUUCCUACCUAUAAAAUGCAGAUUACAAUAAUAUCUAUACAGGAGAAUUUUUGAGGUUUAAAGUAAGAUAGUACAUAUGUCUAGCCCUGUGCCACAUACAAAAGGCAGUAUUUGUGGAGUUCCUAUUGUGGCUCAGGGGGUUAAGAACCCAACUAGUAUCCAUGAAGAUGUGGGUUUGAUCCCUACCCUUGCUCAGUGGGUUAAGGAUCCACUGUUGCCUCAAACUGCUGUGUAGGUUGCAGAUGCAGCUUGGAUCUGGCAUUGCUGUGCCUGUGGCAUAGGCCCACGGUUGCAGCUCUGAUUAGACUCUUAGCCUGAAACUUCCACAUGCUAAAGGUGUGGCCCUAAAGAAUAAAUAAAUAAAUAUGUGUAUAUGAAAUUUUAUUCAUAUUAUCACACUGGAAGAGCCACGUUCCAGUCUCUCUCUGUCUCCUCCUUUGUGUGUGUUUGUGUGUGUGUGUGUGAAUGGGGUGGAGGAGAGUAAAGGGAUACUCGCCAUGAGUGGUUAGAUAGUGAAAUAAGCUCCAUGUUGCAGAAUAUCCUUCAUCAAAGUGAGCAUUUAAUUAAUUCAAGAGCACACCUGUCAUUUUAAUUAUGAUUCUGUCCAUAAAUUUUAGUGCCUGUGAGAGGUGCUGAGGCAGAUUACGUUUCCACCUUUCCUGGCACAAUAACAAAGGAGGACGAACUCUGCAGUCACUGCCUCUAUCCCCUCUGCCUCCGUGUGGGACCUGGAUACCAAAAGCCAGGAUCACAUUAAAUUGUGUGGAGUGUUCCUACAUAUUUCACAGCUCUUGUUGCUAUGGUGAAUGAUAUCUGUUUUUCUAUUUAAUGGUUAACUGGUUAUUGCCAACAUGUACCAUUACAUUUUCAUGGCUCACUUUGGCAACCCAAGAUUUGAUCUUCUCUUCAGAUUGCUCUAUUGCUCGGUCCCCUUGAAGAUGGAAAGGUGACCAUGAUGGUGACAGAGGUGAAGCUUGCUGGGGGUGAAGCGAUUUUCUAGCAAGCGUGGGGUAGAGGUAUCUGGCUGCUUCAGCAUGGCAUUGGAGGAACCCUGGGAGUGCAGCCCCGAGCAACACUGGGCUGGGACGUGUUGGCAAUGGGGUCUCCACUGCAGAACCCUCUUUCAGUCACUCACACGUAUAGUGCAUUUGGGCCUUCCUAAUUGUGUGGCUUCAGGCUCUGUCCUGCUGCCCUCCCACAAAUUCUGUGAACUGGCUAAUAUCCUUUAAUAGUUUCCUUUCUUAUUUAAACUGAGCCUAAUCCCUUACCCACAAUCUGUGGAUUACUCUGUAGCAAUUGUUAUGUGAUCAAAGCCAAAUGCAGUAUCACCAAACAAAACGGAAGAUUUCUUCAUGUACGUAUGUAUUGGUAAGUGUGAGGAGAACCUAGAGACUACAAACCCAGAUGAUAGCAAUGGCCACCUUUGGGGAAGGGAGUGGGGGAAAUUAGCGUAGACCUGUAUACUCUGUAUACUUUUUUCGGAAUGUUUUACAAAAACAAUGCUUUCAGGUAUUGCUUAUGUAUUCAACAUGGCGAAACAAAACAAUUAGAAAAAAA
rnacentral:lncRNA from 1 species